UACGUAGGGUCCGAGCGUUGUCCGGAAUUAUUGGGCGUAAAGGGCUCGUAGGCGGUUUGUCGCGUCGGGGAGUGAAAAACCUACAGCUUAACUGUGGGCUUGCUUUCGAUACGGGCAGACUUGAGGCAUGCAGGGGAGAACGGAAUUCCUGGUGUAGCGGUGAAAUGCGUAGAUAUCUGGAGGAACACCGGUGGCGAAGGCGGCAUCCUGGACCGGCAUUGACGCUGAGGCGCGAAAGCCAGGGGAGCAAACGGG
rnacentral:rRNA from 1 species